UGGGGAGUCGUCAAGUGGUUAAGACAACGGGUUUUGAUCCCGUCAUGCGAAGGUUCGAAUCCUUCCUCCCCAGCCA
rnacentral:tRNA from 1 species